rnacentral:rRNA from 1 species
UACGUAGGGGGCAAGCGUUGUCCGGAAUCAUUGGGCGUAAAGAGCGUGUAGGCGGCCCGAUAAGUCCGCUGUGAAAGUCCAGGGCUCAACCCUGGAAUGCCGGUGGAUACUGUCGGGCUCGAAUCCGGAAGAGGUGAGUGGAAUUCCUGGUGUAGCGGUGAAAUGCGCAGAUAUCAGGAGGAACACCGGUGGCGAAGGCGGCAUCCUGGACCGGCAUUGACGCUGAGGAGCGAAAGCCAGGGGAGCAAACGGG